GCGGAGGUGGCUCAUCUGUUAAGAGCACUGGCUGCCCUUCCAAAGAACCUGAGUUCGAGUCUCAGCACCCACA
rnacentral:tRNA from 1 species